CUCCAACACACGAAAGUGGAUUUUGGGGUGGGAGCAAUGUGGAUGAAUAGAAACAUAGGCUCAGCUUUGCUAGAUUAUCAAAGAAACAUUAAAUGUAAAUUCCUAUUGAUCAAAACAAUCAACUUGGCACAAAUUAUUCAUUUUAGUCCAAAUGUUCUUCGCAGGAAACAAAAACUUCAUUCCCCCAAAAACCUUCCACAAAAUUGGAUUUUAUACAGGAAUUAUUGAUUAAAAAUAUAAUGCCCUUACUCUCUGCAUUCAUACAAAGGGGAAGAACAAGAAGGCGUGAUUAUUUCUUCAUCUUGUACUUCAGUUUUUCUUUUCUCUCUCUCCUUUCUUUUCAAUUCUUCUCGUUUAUUCUUUUCCUUUUCUUCUUUUGCUUGCCGCUUUUUCUCCUUCUCUUUUUCUUCUUUUUUCUUUCUUGCUUCUCUUAACUGCCUCUCAUUUUCUUUUUUUUCCCUUUCUCCUCCUCUAUGGCCUUCCUCUCUAUCUCCUUCUGCUUCGCUUUCUUUUUCUUUUCUUUUUCCCUGAGUUCUUUCCUUGUCAAUUCUCUUUUGAAGGUGAAACACAUGUUGGUUAAGCCUCCUCGCCUUCUCAGAGAUGAACUAAUUGUUUAUAACUCAGUAAUUUGCGGCAUUAAGCCGUCUUAUUUGUCCAUUUUCUAUAUCUUCACUUCCGUCGUCAUUAUUAUCCAUGGCCGACCAAGAAUAAAAAUCCAAAAACAAGAAGCUGCUUUUGCAAAUACAGCCACAUAAUACGGGUAAUUAUCCUUCAUUUUGUGGCUGAACAGCUACUGCAUCCUCAUCAACUGAUUACAACCUUCUAAUAACGAAGACUCCAAUUUGGGAAAUUGCAACUCAGAUGCCAACUUACCUUGGUUUGAUUUCAGAAACCAACUAUGAUAUUUUUUAAAUGAGUCUCACAUGAACAAUGUAAGUGUACAAGAUCUCUUCCGAGAUGUCUUCUCCGCUUAUGCGCCCAAGGGCUAAUGCAGCAUCCCGCAAAUCAAUUGUCCAAAAGUCCAGAGGCAUUUCAUCCUCUAUUGAUGAUUUCAACCUUGCGAGUGCCUCCUUGGUCCGCACGAGCUGCUCGCAUUGUCUCUGCAUUUCAUCAUUCAAUGAAAAGGAAACCAAUCAAAGUUCUUAUAAAAAAAAAUGACUAGAAUUAAACCAAGCAGAUUUAUUAUACAAAGAAUUUGUUCACUGCUGUGAGUGAUGGCUACAAUUGAUGUUUGAAACUGUAGUUGUUUAGGUAUAAGAAAUGAAAAGGGUGACAUAAACCAACAACCAAAAGACAGAAAAGGUAUAAGUGAAAAACUCAAUUCACAAUGAGUAGCUAAACCUGGUUAACUGUCCAUUUCCGCCCCCCUGCAGGUAUUCUGUUCAGACCCAUAAUCUCGGAAAUUGCCAUCUCUAGAUCUCGGAUUCCUUGACCAGUAACAGCAGAAGUAAAAACAAGUUUACUAAAAGAAUUCCUGCAUUUAUCGACCCAUUCCAUGUGCAAAGAUGAAGUAGUAUCUAUUUUGUUAAUUGCAAGGACCAUUGGUGCUGAAGCUUCAACUGAUUUCUUAUUAGAUUCAAUCCUACUCAGAAGUUCAGUAUCUUCUGGAGUCCAUCCAUCAAAAGCACUUACUGUCAUGAUAAUGACAUCAGCACCCAUAGCAACUGCUUCGGAUCUCUCUACACCAAUCUUCUCAACAAUGUCGUCAGUCACCCUGAUGCCCGCUGUAUCAAGAAGGGUCACUGGAAUACCACAAACUGUAACACUAGCUUCAACAACGUCUCGGGUGGUUCCAGCAAUUUCUGUAACUAUUGCCCUCUCACUCUGCAUGUUUGCUCCAUGCAUUAAGAAGGCUAGACUUUCCGACAUUCGGACGUCCAACAAUAGCUAUCUACAAGAUUUUAAAGAAAAAUGUCACCAAUUCAGAAUAAAGCAAAAUAUGCACAGAUCAGAAAAGGCACUAUCUUCAAUAAAUAUAAUAAGUUUGUCUUUGCAUGGAUACAAAAUUUCAGCAUAAUGGAGAAAAAUCCACUAAAACAAGUUAAUUAGCAUUCCAGCAAGCCCAUAAAAAUACCUAAAUUUGCAGGAUUAUAAGUGAUUGUUAUGAUGCAGUUAAGUUAUAAGAGGGAAAAAACUGAUUUAUCAUGAUUUGGAUUACAUCAUGCCUGUUGCACCUUCAGUAACUUAGAGAAAGAUUAUAACAUAAAUUUAAAUGUAUAGGCAUCCUACAAUUAGCAAUUCAAUACUACCAAUGGAUGCAAGCGGUUUAUGAUUCCUUGAGCUAAAUAUGCAAAGCAGUGAAAAAGUUAUAGAGCUGCCUUGCAGAUUGUACCUGUAACCCAGAUUGCAGAAGUUUGUCAUAAUUAGCUGUCUCCAGUGCAUUCUCCACAUCUUGUGACAUGACAUGUAUUCUGUCCAUAAUUAGGUUCAAAUCUAGUGGUGGCAUCUCAUCAUCAAAGUCUAAACGAGCUUCAAUCUCAGUCAGCAACUCAAUACACUGUCUUCUUAGUGAUUUGACCAAAGAAGCAAAGCCUCCCUGUUAGAAAAUGAGUUCAGUGCUUUCUAUUCAUGCUUUGAACAGGCCUUAUGUAAUCAGAUGUAAAACUUGUUUAGUUAUUAAAAAUCCAUAGUUACUUGAAGCACAAGAGUAUUAUUAUUAUGGAAAUACAUAGAUGACAAAAAAAAUUGAGUGCCUAUAAGGAGACAAGCCUGCAGUCCAGCCAGUGCUGCAUCUGCAGCUGCCACAGACUUUGUCGAAACUAAUUUUCCAACGCUUUCAGCUUGGGACAGGUCCAAACGGCCAUUCAGAAACGCACGGAGAGUGAACUCACCUGGCUCUGCAAGCCUAGCUCCAGCUUCAAUACAAGCUCUCAGCACACGAGUAAGACAUACUUCACUCCCAUGACACUGAAGCUCAAUCACGUCUUCACAAGUGAAAGAUCUAGGAGCCAACAUUGGUAGAGCUAAAACCUCAUCAAUUAUAUUUCCUUCAUGAUCGAAAACCACGCCAUAAUCCACAACAUGACUGGUAGGCUGCCACGCGCAGAAUCCUCCACUCUUCUUUUGAUUCUUCUUCUUUUUCUUCAUUGGUCUAAACACACGUGAAGCAAUAUCCACCGCCAAAGGACCGGACAAUCGCACAAUCCCCACGGCGGCAGGCGGGCCACCUAUGGAGGUGACGAUGGCAGCAAUUGUGGUAGAUGAAUUCUCAUUCGGAAAAGCAGAAUUUGGGCCGAGCAAGCGCUGGUCUCUGUUCUUGAGAAACAAAGUGGGCUUUGAGUUUGAACUUUGAUUGAGAAUAGCAUGCGGUUUUGGAAGGGUUUUUGGUUUGUGGGAUUUUAGAGGGGAGAGGAAAAAAAGGGUUUUACCAGUGGUGGUGGAGAUCGAGAGUUUCGGUGAUAUAAGGGGUGGUAAGUUUUUCUGCGUGAAGAAAUGGGUGAUAAUGGUGCGAACUGCUGGGAGAAGAGACUGAGCCAUUGAUUUGAGGACAAUCUGAAAA
rnacentral:misc_RNA from 1 species